AGAUUGAACGCUGGCGGCAUGCUUUACACAUGCAAGUCGAACGGCAACAGGCCGCAAGGUGCUGACGAGUGGCGAACGGGUGAGUAAUGUAUCGGAACGUGCCCGGUCGUCGGGGGAUAACGCAGCGAAAGCUGCGCGUAAUACCGCAUACGAUCUAUGGAUGAAAGCGGGGGACCGUAAGGCCUCGCGCGAUUGGAGCGGCCGAUAUCAGAUUAGGUAGUUGGUGGGGUAAAGCUCACCAAGCCAACGAUCUGUAGCUGGUCUGAGAGGACGA
rnacentral:rRNA from 1 species